GCCCCAAUAGCUCAGUUUGGUCUAGAGCGUUCGGCUUUUAACCGAAAUGUCGUGGGUUCGACCCCCACUUGGGGCG